AGCUUCUUUACAGUGCUGCCUUGUUGCUUAUGGAUCAAGCAGCAUUGUACAGGGCUAUGA
rnacentral:pre_miRNA from 1 species